rnacentral:rRNA from 1 species
AGCGAACGCUGGCGGCAGGCCUAACACAUGCAAGUCGAACGGACCCUUCGGGGUUAGUGGCGGACGGGUGAGUAACACGUGGGAACGUGCCCUUUGGUUCGGAACAACACAGGGAAACUUGUGCUAAUACCGGAUAAGCCCUUCGGGGGAAAGAUUUAUUGCCAUUGGAGCGGCCCGCGUUGGAUUAGGUAGUUGGUGAGGUAAAGGCUCACCAAGCCUGCGAUCCAUAGCUGGUCUGAGAGGAUGAUCAGCCACAUUGGGACUGAGACACGGCCCAAACUCCUACGGGAGGCAGCAGUGGGGAAUCUUGCGCAAUGGGCGAAAGCCUGACGCAGCCAUGCCGCGUGAAUGAUGAAGGUCUUAGGAUUGUAAAAUUCUUUCAGCGGGGACGAUAAUGACGGUACCCGCAGAAGAAGCCCCGGCUAACUUCGUGCCAGCAGCCGCAGUAAUACGAAGGGGGCUAGCGUUGCUCGGAAUUACUGGGCGUAAAGGGAGCGUAGGCGGAUAGUUUAGUCAGAGGUGAAAGCCCAGGGCUCAACCUUGGAAAUGCCUUUGAUACUGGCUAUCUUGAGUAUGGGAGAGG